AUGAACGCUGGCGGCGUGCCUAAUACAUGCAAGUCGAGCGAACGGACGAGAAGCUUGCUUCUCUGAUGUUAGCGGCGGACGGGUGAGUAACACGUGGAUAACCUACCUAUAAGACUGGGAUAACUUCGGGAAACCGGAGCUAAUACCGGAUAAUAUUUUGAACCGCAUGGUUCAAUAGUGAAAGACGGUCUUGCUGUCACUUAUAGAUGGAUCCGCGCUGCAUUAGCUAGUUGGUAAGGUAACGGCUUACCAAGGCAACGAUGCAUAGCCGACCUGAGAGGGUGAUCGGCCACACUGGAACUGAGACACGGUCCAGACUCCUACGGGAGGCAGCAGUAGGGAAUCUUCCGCAAUGGGCGAAAGCCUGACGGAGCAACGCCGCGUGAGUGAUGAAGGUCUUCGGAUCGUAAAACUCUGUUAUUAGGGAAGAACAUAUGUGUAAGUAACUGUGCACAUCUUGACGGUACCUAAUCAGAAAGCCACGGCUAACUACGUG
rnacentral:rRNA from 1 species